AGAGCCGGAGCGCGCGGUCCGCGCGGCCACUGGAGACCAGGCGGCCGGCGGCCGGGCAGGCGGCGGCAGCGGCAGCGGAUGGGGACGCGGAGUCGGGCGGCUGUGGCUGUGGCGGCGGCCGGGAAGCAGCUGGCGGGCCGGCGGCGGCGGCGGCGCUGGCGGCGGUGACGGGCCCAGGCCCCGGCGGCGGCAGCGACGCGGUGGCGGGCUGCGGGCGGGCGGCGUGAGGAGCAGCGGCGGAGCGCGGGGCCGCCGGGAAGCCAGGGCGCCGAGACGCCCCCUGCCCAGUCCUCGCAGGCCGCCAGGCCCCCUCCAGCCGGGGCCGUGGAGCACCGGGGCAAAGGCCGGGGCCCCCCCAUGAAGGAGCGCGACGCGGCCCCGGCCGAGCGGGGCAAGCCGGCCACCUACACCGGGGACAAGAAGGCGAAGAUGGCGGCCAAGACCAACAAGAAGUGGGUCCGGCUAGCCACGGUGUUCGCCUACGUGCUCUCCGUGUCGCUGGCCGCCAUCGUACUGGCCGUCUACUACAGUCUCAUCUGGCAGCCGGUGGGUGCCGGGACCUCGGGGGGAGCCGUCGGCCCGCCCCCCAGCGGCUCCAACACCACCGGCCCGUCUGGGACUUCGGGGGUGGCGGCGGGGCCCAACACCACCGGGUCGUCCCGCCGCGAGGCGCCACGCGACGCACCCCCGCUGCAGGCGGCGAGGCCGGCGCCCCCGGAGCCCGCUGCAGACAGCCCCCUGGCUGGGCCGCUCGAACGGCCGCGGGGGCUGGACGAGGACGAAGAGGAAGCGGCCGAAGAGCCCCGGAGUCGUUGAAUCUCUCCGCGUUGGGGACGGUCGGGAAUCAUCGUCCCCUAAGCCCCCAAGCAGGACUUUGCAGCAGGACCGGCUCCGGAGCCCGCCGGAGUGACCCCUACGCGAGCGUACGCCCCCACACACCUCAGCGAUCGCCAGUUUGCCCCGGGAGCCGGUAAUGCACAACCGGAUCUUCAGCCAAGGGACCACGAUUCGCCGGGGACUCGGGGUUUGAUCUUCCCAGCACCGUGCUGCGCCAGGGCCCUGAGCCAUAAGGGGAACUGGGGGGAGGGUGGAGAGAGCCUAGCACCCAGCCCUUCAGCGCUGCUAGCUCUGGUGUUUCCUAAAUGCAGGGGGUGACUCGGGCGCCCCCUCCCCAAGACUCAGGGGAAGGUAGGGAGUUGUGUAGGGGCUCUUUUUUUUUUUUUUUUUUUUUUAAUAAGCCGAGGCUCUCCCAAAGAAGAGAGCACCAAAAGUAGCGGAGCUCAGGUACGUCAACCUAGUUGCAGUGGCCAGACAUGCGUUUAAUUUAUAGAUCCCUGUAUAUAGUUGUUGACAUAUGCACUAGACGCUAUAAUCACAUAGAACUCUAUGUAUCUCCCCACAGCUGGGUAGCUACUGAAUGGUGGGGUCCAGCAAGGGCUAUUUGCUGGCCUUCAAACUGCACUUAGCCAGAAGGGCACAAACACAAGCUUUUUUUUUUUUUUCUUUUCCAUCACCCACUCUUUCACCUGUUCCCUUCCUGUUUCAGAAAGAUAAGUUUCUGACGUUCUUGCACAAGAGUAUAAUCAUUCUUAGACCCCUACCAUGACCGUGGAAAAACCUUAGCAAUAGAAACUGUUUAGGGAGGGUGGGGAAUGUGCUGGUCCCCCUCCGGUUCUCAUCCUAGUGCUCCCACCAAAGUGGCUUCCUGUUGUAGCCUGAAUCUCUGGAUCCAUGCCAGGGGCGAUGGCAAGAAAGAGUAAAGCUGCUGUGUUUAGAUCAGUCCCUUCCCUCACAGAAUUCCUUUAGGAAGAGCAAGCCUUUUUAAGUACAGUGAUUGGCAAGUGUUUUCUCUCAUUCCUUUUCCGGCUCCUCAACUAUCUUACCGGUUCCAGAUCUUGUCUUAUUUCAUUUCUUGCCCUUCUAGAUCUUGUCUUACUCGUGUUUGCAUUUCUUAUUUUUUGAGCCUAACACAGCAGCUUGCCGUUAGAACCAAAUCAGUUGCAAAACCAGAGCUUUGAUGUGGUUCUGAGUUGCUUUAUAGGGUAAGAAAGAGCAGAAGGUAGAAUUCAAGUUCAGGAGUGUGCUUGGAUAGCCAGUGAAGAGACCAGCUAUUGGAAGAUUGAACUGGCAGCUCAUCUUUCUCAUUCCUUAUAAGCUUCCACUUAAAUGCAGCCAAUGAUUUUCUAGAGGUGGUCUCACACACGCGCACACACACCCUCGGGGCAGCAGGAAUUAUUCUUCAGUUUGGAUUCCAUUUCCCCCUGCCACUUGCUGUUAGGCAGUUGAGUGUGGGUAGUGACAACGAUCAAACCCCUUAGUGUUUCCUUUUUGGGAAAUAAGCAAUUUAAAAGAGAAACAAAACAGGAACCUUGUAUACCUUAGUCCUGAAACUGUCUAUCCACUUUUCUGGCCUACCUUGUAGUCAGCUCUGAUUCAGGUUUACAGGACAAUAGUCUUGAUUUAAGCCAUGUCCUGACCUGGGCAAGAAAAUAGCAACUAAGCUGGCAGCCUCCCAGCAGGCUGCUAACACCCAAGGUGUCUGGGCUUGGAGAGUUCUUCACAGCUGAUGAGGACUUAAGUCAUUAGGAGGCCCAUGGGGACUUUUUAAAUUUUUGAUGAGAGACUGGGGGGAAGAAACAUAAAAUGCCACUUUGUAUCUUCAAUGAUAGCCUGUCAUUUAUAUUUAUGGUGUGAAUUUUUAGUCCUAUAUUUUAAUAAUUUGUAAAUUGAUCUCUUAUUCCAAGAAUCCUCUGGACUCGUGGGAGAGUGUCUGGGAGUCCACUCCUCUUCCCCUCCUGACCCUGCUUUAUGGACUGUUUAAAUCCACUUUGGAUCAAAGAGUUCAGCAAGACCACUCGUGGUCCAGCUGGCCUCCUGACUCUAUAAGCCUUCACUGGAAUCGGGACAUUUUCUCCAGCCCUAGCUGUGAACAUGACCAGAGACAUUAUUUAUAAUUCAGCCAUUCAAGAUAUACCUGUACUUUAAAAGUCCUGUAUAUUUUUUAAAAGUUUUAUUUUUCAGGUGAACAAAAAUACAUUCUAAGAACUCUGCCUAA
ensembl:antisense